rnacentral:rRNA from 1 species
CAGUAGCCGCGGUAAUACGAAGGGUGCAAGCGUUACUCGGAAUUACUGGGCGUAAAGCGUGUGUAGGUGGUUGUUUAAGUCUGUCGUGAAAGCCCUGGGCUCAACCUGGGAAUUGCGAUGGAUACUGGGCGACUAGAGUGCGGUAGAGGAUAGUGGAAUUUCCGGUGUAGCAGUGAAAUGCGUAGAGAUCGGAAGGAACAUCUGUGGCGAAGGCGACUAUCUGGGCCAACACUGACACUGAGACACGAAAGCGUGGGGAGCAAACAGGAUUAGAUACCCCGGUAGUCCCUGUCUCUUAUAC